rnacentral:rRNA from 1 species
AGGGUAAAGCCUGCAAGGGCGCUCUGGGAUGAGUCUGCGGCCUAUCAGGUAGUUGGUGGGGUAAAAGCCUACCAAGCCUACGACGGGUAGCUGGUCUCAUGAGGAUGACUAGCCAGAGGGGGACUGAGACACGGCCCCCACUCCUACGGGAGGCAGCAAUCAGGAAUAGUCGGCAAUGGGCGAAAGCCUGACCGCGCGAUACCGCGUGUAGGAUGAAGCAUCAAAAGUGUGUAAACUACUGUGGCGAGGGAUGAAAUCAAUGACAGUACCUCGCUAGAAAGGGGCCGCUAACUGCGUGCCAGAGGCGUCGGUAAUACGUGGGCCCCAAGCGUUAUCCGGUUUUAUUGGGCGUAAAGGGUCGUGUAGGUGGUUGGGUAAGUUACUCUUUAAAUAUCUAGGCUCAACCUAGGGAAUGGGAGUAAUACUGCUCUGACUUUGAAUAUUUUCAAGGGUAAGCGGAACUGAGGGAGGAGUAGUGUAAUGCGUUGAUACCCUCGGGAACACUCGUGGCGAAGGCGGCUUACUGGGAAGAUAUUGACACUGAGACACGAAAGCUAGGGGAGCGAAGCAGAUUAGAGACCUGCGUAGUCCUAGCCGUAAACGCAUGCCUGCUGGCUGCAUGAUUUGAUCCGCAAGGAUCAUUUCGUGUGGCGAAGCUAACGCGUUAAGCAGGCCGCCUGGGAAGUACGACCGCAAGGUUAAAACUCAAAGGAAUUGGCGGGGAGGCACACAACCAGAGGAACAUGUUGUUUAAUUCGAUACAAACCGAAGAACCUCACCAGGGUUUGACAUGCUAGAGUUCUAUCCAGCAGAAACGUUGGAGAUCCGCAAGGAGGCUAGCAAAGGUGCUGCAUGGCUGUCGUCAGUUCGUACCGUGAGGUGUGCCCUUAAGUGGGACAACGAACGCAACCCUUACCGUGUGUUACAAGUGUCACAUGGAACGGCCCUACCUUUUGGUGGGGAGGAAGGUGAGGCAGACGUCAAGUCAGCAUGGUCCGUAUGCCCUGGGCUACAAACAUGUUACAAUGAAUGUUACAAUGAGCUGCAAGCCGGCAACGGCAAGCAAAUCUCUCAUAAAAGCAUUCUCAGUGGGGAUUAGAGUCUGCAACUCGACUCUAUGAACGCGGAUUUGGUAGUAAUCGCGGGUCAGCUAUACCGCGGUGAAUACGUUCUUGCCUCUUGCACACACCGCCCGUCAAACAAACAAAGUUGG